UGAACUCUUCCUCUUCAUUCCUCCACGAAUUCUGAACUUCUGAAAUUGAAGAUGUUUCAUCUCUGAAGUUUUGGCGAUUGACAGUGGUUCAUCUCGUUCGCUAUUGAAGAUAUUACAUCUCAUUGAAGAUCGGAGUUGUUAAUCGAUGAAGAUCGAAGUCUAAGAGAUGUUGUAACAAUGCUAUUGCUGUGAAGCAACUUCUAGCAAGGCGUAAUUUGGUGCCUUCUGCUGCCUGUUCUUUAUGUUCAAGAGUGGAUGAAUCAGUAGUUCAUGCAUUAUUCCAAUGUUCUUUUGCGUCGACAGUAUGAUUUGGAAGGUCAGAAAUAAUGCCAUCUUUAAUCAUGUAGAGCCUAAUCUCCUCAGUGUUUCAGCAGCUAUUUCAACCUCCAUCCGGGAAUGUUAUAUUUGUAUUGGAGCUGCUGUUCAUGAAGAGAUGGUUUUUCCUCAUUAGGAAAGCAAUAUGGUGCUCAAUGUUAUUGCUAUGUCAGAUUUUUCUACUCCUCCUGUGGACCAUUUUACUUUAACCACUUAUGGUUCCUGGAGAUCCUCUUCGUGCAAAGGCAGGCGUGAAGCUAUUAUUACAACAUCAGAGGGUGUUUUUGUCGCUACAAAUUGUAGAGCAGGGUUCAGUUUUUCAGUAGCUGCUGCAGAAGCUAAGGCAGUAAGGGAUGGGAUCCUCUUGGCCAAAUUCUUGGGCAUUAAUUCUCUUGUUAUUUGUAGUGAUUGCUUAGCUAUAAUUUUUGCUUGUAAAGGGCUUCCUUCUUCCCUUGAUUGGGCUAGCCUUUUGAUAGUCAAAGACAUUUUAG